AGUGAACGCUGGCGGUAGGCCUAACACAUGCAAGUCGAACGGCAGCACAGUAAGAGCUUGCUCUUACGGGUGGCGAGUGGCGGACGGGUGAGGAAUACAUCGGAAUCUACUUUUUCGUGGGGGAUAACGUAGGGAAACUUACGCUAAUACCGCAUACGACCUACGGGUGAAAGCAGGGGAUCUUCGGACCUUGCGCGAUUGAAUGAGCCGAUGUCGGAUUAGCUAGUUGGCGGGGUAAAGGCCCACCAAGGCGACGAUCCGUAGCUGGUCUGAGAGGAUGAGCACCGACACUGUGAAUCAGACACGCUCCACACUCCUCCGCGAGGCAGAGGUGGGGAAUAUUGGGCAAUAGGCGCGAGCCUGUGACAGCCCUACCGCGUGUGUGAGGAGAGCCUUCGCGUUUUAUAGAGCUCUUGUGGGGAAAGAGAAGAGCCAGAUUUAUACCCCGCUGUGCUGACGCUACCCCCAGAGUAUGCGCCGGCUAACUCCGUG
rnacentral:rRNA from 1 species